rnacentral:rRNA from 1 species
AUUGAACGCUGGCGGCAUGCCUUACACAUGCAAGUCGAACGGCAGCACGGGUGCUUGCACCUGGUGGCGAGUGGCGAACGGGUGAGUAAUACAUCGGAACGUACCUUAUCGUGAGGGAUAACGCAGCGAAAGCUGUGCUAAUACCGCAUACGCCCUGAGGGGGAAAGCGGGGGAUCGCAAGACCUCGCGCGAUUAGAGCGGCCGAUGCCUGACUAGCUUGUUGGUGGGGUAAAAGCCCACCAAGGCGACGAUCAGUAGCUGGUCUGAGAGGACGAUCAGCCACACUGGGACUGAGACACGGCCCAGACUCCUACGGGAGGCAGCAGCGGGGAAUUUUGGACAAUGGGGGCAACCCUGAUCCAGCAAUGCCGCGUGAGUGAAGAAGGCCUUCGGGUUGUAAAGCUCUUUUGUCAGGGAAGAAACACCGGCUCUAACACAGUCCGGGAAUGACGGUACCUGAAGAAUAAGCACCGGCUAACUACGUGCCAGCAGCCGCCGUAA